UACAGAGGGUGCAAGCGUUAAUCGGAAUUACUGGGCGUAAAGCGCGCGUAGGUGGUUAGGUAAGUUGGAUGUGAAAGCCCCGGGCUUAACCUGGGAACUGCAUCCAAAACUGCCGGACUAGAGUACGGUAGAGGGUGGUGGAAUUUCCUGUGUAGCGGUGAAAUGCGUAGAUAUAGGAAGGAACACCAGUGGCGAAGGCGACCACCUGGACUGAUACUGACACUGAGGUGCGAAAGCGUGGGGAGCAAAC
rnacentral:rRNA from 1 species